rnacentral:rRNA from 1 species
AUUGAACGCUGGCGGCAGGCUUAACACAUGCAAGUCGAGCGGAGAUGAGGUGCUUGCACCUUAUCUUAGCGGCGGACGGGUGAGUAAUGCUUAGGAAUCUGCCUAUUAGUGGGGGACAACAUUCCGAAAGGAAUGCUAAUACCGCAUACGUCCUACGGGAGAAAGCAGGGGAUCUUCGGACCUUGCGCUAAUAGAUGAGCCUAAGUCGGAUUAGCUAGUUGGUGGGGUAAAGGCCUACCAAGGCGACGAUCUGUAGCGGGUCUGAGAGGAUGAUCCGCCACACUGGGACUGAGACACGGCCCAGACUCCUACGGGAGGCAGCAGUGGGGAAUAUUGGACAAUGGGCGGAAGCCUGAUCCAGCCAUGCCGCGUGUGUGAAGAAGGCCUUUUGGUUGUAAAGCACUUUAAGCGAGGAGGAGGCUACCUGGAUUAAUACUCUGGGAUAGUGGACGUUACUCGCAGAAUAAGCACCGGCUAACUCUGUGCCAGCAGCCGCUGUAACAC